GGGUUGUGAGGUUAAGCGACUAAGCGUACACGGUGGAUGCCCUGGCAGUCAGAGGCGAUGAAGGGCGUACUAAUCUGCGAUAAGCGCCGGUAAGGUGAUAUGAACCGUUAUAACCGGCGAUACCCGAAUGGGGAAACCCAGUGUGAUUCGUCACACUAUCAUUAACUGAAUCCAUAGGUUAAUGAGGCGAACCGGGGGAACUGAAACAUCUAAGUACCCCGAGGAAAAGAAAUCAACCGAGAUUCCCCCAGUAGCGGCGAGCGAACGGGGAGGAGCCCAGAGCCUGAAUCAGCAUGUGUGUUAGUGGAAGCGUCUGGAAAGGCGCGCGAUACAGGGUGACAGCCCCGUACACAAAAGCGCAUGUGCUGUGAGCUCGAUGAGUAGGGCGGGACACGUGGUAUCCUGUCUGAAUAUGGGGGGACCAUCCUCCAAGGCUAAAUACUCCUGACUGACCGAUAGUGAACCAGUACCGUGAGGGAAAGGCGAAAAGAACCCCGGCGAGGGGAGUGAAAAAGAACCUGAAACCGUGUACGUACAAGCAGUGGGAGCACCCUUUGGGUGUGACUGCGUACCUUUUGUAUAAUGGGUCAGCGACUUAUAUUCUGUAGCAAGGUUAACCGAAUAGGGGAGCCGGAGGGAAACCGAGUCUUAACCGGGCGUUAAGUUGCAGGGUAUAGACCCGAAACCCGGUGAUCUAGCCAUGGGCAGGUUGAAGGUUGGGUAACACUAACUGGAGGACCGAACCGACUAAUGUUGAAAAAUUAGCGGAUGACCUGUGGCUGGGGGUGAAAGGCCAAUCAAACCGGGAGAUAGCUGGUUCUCCCCGAAAGCUAUUUAGGUAGCGCCUCGUGAAUUCAUCUCCGGGGGUAGAGCACUGUUUCGGCUAGGGGGCCAUCCCGGCUUACCAACCCGAUGCAAACUGCGAAUACCGGAGAAUGUUAUCACGGGAGACACACGGCGGGUGCUAACGUCCGUCGUGAAGAGGGAAACAACCCAGACCGCCAGCUAAGGUCCCAAAGUCAUGGUUAAGUGGGAAACGAUGUGGGAAGGCCCAGACAGCCAGGAUGUUGGCUUAGAAGCAGCCAUCAUUUAAAGAAAGCGUAAUAGCUCACUGGUCGAGUCGGCCUGCGCGGAAGAUGUAACGGGGCUAAACCAUGCACCGAAGCUGCGGCAGCGACACUGUGUGUUGUUGGGUAGGGGAGCGUUCUGUAAGCCUGUGAAGGUGUGUCGUGAGGCAUGCUGGAGGUAUCAGAAGUGCGAAUGCUGACAUAAGUAACGAUAAAGCGGGUGAAAAGCCCGCUCGCCGGAAGACCAAGGGUUCCUGUCCAACGUUAAUCGGGGCAGGGUGAGUCGACCCCUAAGGCGAGGCCGAAAGGCGUAGUCGAUGGGAAACGGGUUAAUAUUCCCGUACUUGGUGUUACUGCGAAGGGGGGACGGAGAAGGCUAUGUUGGCCGGGCGACGGUUGUCCCGGUUUAAGCGUGUAGGUGUGUGUUCCAGGUAAAUCCGGUUCACUUUAACACUGAGGCGUGACGACGAGGCACUACGGUGCUGAAGCAACAAAUGCCCUGCUUCCAGGAAAAGCCUCUAAGCAUCAGGUAACAUCAAAUCGUACCCCAAACCGACACAGGUGGUCAGGUAGAGAAUACCAAGGCGCUUGAGAGAACUCGGGUGAAGGAACUAGGCAAAAUGGUGCCGUAACUUCGGGAGAAGGCACGCUGACACGUAGGUGAAGUGAUUUACUCAUGGAGCUGAAGUCAGUCGAAGAUACCAGCUGGCUGCAACUGUUUAUUAAAAACACAGCACUGUGCAAACACGAAAGUGGACGUAUACGGUGUGACGCCUGCCCGGUGCCGGAAGGUUAAUUGAUGGGGUCAGCGCAAGCGAAGCUCCUGAUCGAAGCCCCGGUAAACGGCGGCCGUAACUAUAACGGUCCUAAGGUAGCGAAAUUCCUUGUCGGGUAAGUUCCGACCUGCACGAAUGGCGUAAUGAUGGCCAGGCUGUCUCCACCCGAGACUCAGUGAAAUUGAACUCGCUGUGAAGAUGCAGUGUACCCGCGGCAAGACGGAAAGACCCCGUGAACCUUUACUAUAGCUUGACACUGAACAUUGAGCCUUGAUGUGUAGGAUAGGUGGGAGGCUUUGAAGUGUGGACGCCAGUCUGCAUGGAGCCGACCUUGAAAUACCACCCUUUAAUGUUUGAUGUUCUAACGUGGACCCGUUACCCGGGUUGCGGACAGUGUCUGGUGGGUAGUUUGACUGGGGCGGUCUCCUCCUAAAGAGUAACGGAGGAGCACGAAGGUUGGCUAAUCCUGGUCGGACAUCAGGAGGUUAGUGCAAUGGCAUAAGCCAGCUUGACUGCGAGCGUGACGGCGCGAGCAGGUGCGAAAGCAGGUCAUAGUGAUCCGGUGGUUCUGAAUGGAAGGGCCAUCGCUCAACGGAUAAAAGGUACUCCGGGGAUAACAGGCUGAUACCGCCCAAGAGUUCAUAUCGACGGCGGUGUUUGGCACCUCGAUGUCGGCUCAUCACAUCCUGGGGCUGAAGUAGGUCCCAAGGGUAUGGCUGUUCGCCAUUUAAAGUGGUACGCGAGCUGGGUUUAGAACGUCGUGAGACAGUUCGGUCCCUAUCUGCCGUGGGCGCUGGAGAACUGAGGGGGGCUGCUCCUAGUACGAGAGGACCGGAGUGGACGCAUCACUGGUGUUCGGGUUGUCAUGCCAAUGGCACUGCCCGGUAGCUAAAUGCGGAAGAGAUAAGUGCUGAAAGCAUCUAAGCACGAAACUUGCCCCGAG
rnacentral:rRNA from 1 species